rnacentral:lncRNA from 10 species
CGCGGGAGCUUUGGGGACGCACUUCUGGAUGCCUAGGCCUCUUCCGUUUGCCUCUGGGACUGGCGAUACUCGAGAUGUCUUGAGGCCUUCCAGACCUUGCUCCACCUCCACCACCAGGUCUCCAGUCCUGAGCCACAUGCUGCCAUUUUUGUCUCAGAAGCACCCCUCUUCCAGGUGGAAGAUUGAAGGUCUGAAGAGUGGGAAGUCCCAGGAACAGGCAAUUCCAGGAAGAUAUGAGGAAAAUCAAGAAAGAGAAGGAAACUGAAGCUAGUGGGAAGUGCUUCAAGUUGGAGAUGAUGCUGAGAUGGCCAAAAAGUGAGAGGUGGAAAACAUUUGGAGUGAGUUAAGGAGAGAACGCGAGGCAAGGAAGUGAAGCUGAUUUUGGAUGCAGACAGCCCAAGACCAAGAUGCUGGAAGAAUCGGUUUCCUUUGCGGAUGCUCUCCUAGGUCUUUUUUUUUUUGGAAUCUUGCUAUUCGCCUGCCUCAGGCUCCCGAAUAGCUAGGAUUACAGGCACCUGCCAUCAUGCCUGGCUAAUUUUUGUAUUUUUGUAGAGACGGGGUUUCAUCAUGUUGGCCAUGCUGGUCUUGAACUCCUGAUCUCAGGUGAUUCGCCCACCUCGGCUUCCCAGAGUGUUGAGAUAACAGGCGUGAACCACCACGCCUGGCCUCUCCUAGGUUUUUAAAUGACUGCAUUCUUCCUGCCUCUUCACACAGUCACCCUUCUGUGCACAAGGAUCUGCUGUCUCUCUGUCUGUGUCCUAACCUCCUCUUCCUAUAAGGAUUCCAGUUGGAUUGGACUAGGGACCUCACGUAGGACCUCAUUUUAACAUAAUUACCUCUUUAAUACCCUGUCUCCAAAUACGCUCACCUUCUGAGGUACUGGGGGUUAGGGCCUCAAAAUAUGAAUUUGCGGGAAG